UUUUUACUCCCUCCGUCCGGAAAUACUUGUCCUAAAAAUGAAUAAAAUGGAUGUAUCUAGAACUAAAAUAAGUCUAAAUACAACCAUUUAUAGUACAAGUGUUUCCGGACGGAGGGACUACUAU
rfam:Triticum aestivum genome assembly, contig: Triticum_aestivum_CS42_TGACv1_scaffold_129511_2BL